GACAGAGGGGGCAAGCGUUGCUCGGAAUCACUGGGCGUAAAGAGUCUUCAGGUGGUUUGAAAAGUCGGGUGUUAAAGCCUAGAGCUCAACUCUAGUCCUGUACCCGAAACUUUCAGGCUUGGGAUUUGCAGAGGCAAGUAGAAUUCUGCGUGUAGGGGUAAAAUCCGUUGAUACGCAGAGGAAUACCAAAAGCGAAAGCAGCUUGCUGGGCAAUUUCUGACGCUGAGAGACGAAAGCGUGGGUAGCAAAUGGG
rnacentral:rRNA from 1 species